CACAGAACAUGCAGUGAGAACU
rnacentral:miRNA from 2 species